AGGAAGGACUCUUUCUCCUGUGAGCACUGGACUCCCUGGCCCUGCUCGUGACAGGCAGAGCCUAGAUGGCCCCUGGUCCCUGCGCUCGCUUCUGGAUCGGGUUUAACCUCGGAGACGCAGCCACGGAUUGUGUUCGUGUACUGAGGCUCUUUAAGGAAGGGCCGUGACUUCUUUCUAAAAAAACCAUUUCUUGAACAACAAGCAAAUACAAAUGUGAAAGAAAAAAAAAAAAAAGAUGUUUUAUAACACAGACGCAAACACACUAAAUCACUUCACAACCGGUCGAUUUAUUACACAGCAUUAAACCAAGCGUCGUGGAUGGGAUAGUCUGCACAGAGUGAAGAGCCUGCGUUUACUAAGCUGCUGUAGAAAAUUACAGCAAGAGAAUCAAAUGCGUAUCCUAGCUUACCUGAACGUACGCCAAUACAAAUAGAGUGAUUUAUCCCUCCGGUGGAAGAAAGAAGGGAAAGGAUUAUCAUUUUCACCUCCCGUGUUUCAGAGGUAUCACAUCAAACUCAAGAUGACGUGACGUUUACAUGGAUCACUGCUUAGUCAUUCGAGAUUCAGCAUGGCUGAAAGAUGUCAAGUGUAGGGCAAACACCUGGGUAUUUCAAGGCGGUAGGAGCUACACGUUGCGUGUAGGACUGGUAAGGGGCGGUGAGGUGGUGAAACUGCAAUGGAUGUGAAAGGAAAUGACCGUGAUGAGUGCUGGACCUGUUACGUAACAGAGAAAGGAAAUAAUCGUUAAUGUAAAACUCGGGCACGUUGUGAUUGCUGAUAUUUGGGAACGACAGUGAAACGUUGCCCCAAGUGUUCACAAAGCAGCAUUUGGCAGCACUGAGAAAAACAUGAGCAUCUCAAUUGUAGUGAGACGGCCCUGCGUGUGUUUUGUGUUCCUUCUUGGCUCCCCACAGAGAUGCUGGUGGCUCUUGUGUCCAUCAGCAGGCCAAGCAACUGGGAGACGUCCCUCCGCUGGUACUCACGGUGCUCGCUUGUGCGGUGUUGGAGACCCAUUUGGACAGUAGGCGCUGUGUUUGCCCUUCGCCCGCUGUCAGUCACAGCCUGAGACAUUAAACUCUGCCCCAGCCCAAAAAAGCCAUCUUUUAGCUUUUAAU
ensembl:lncRNA